CCUACGGGUGGCAGCAGUGAGGAAUAUUGGUCAAUGGGCGGAAGCCUGAACCAGCCAAGUAGCGUGCGGGAUGACGGCCCUACGGGUCGUAAACCGCUUUUGCACGGGGAUAACACCCUCCACUUGUGGAGGUCUGCAGGUACCGUGCGAAUAAGGGCCGGCUAAUUCCGUGCCAGCAGCCGCGGUAAUACGGAAGGCCCGAGCGUUAUCCGGAUUCAUUGGGCUUAAAGGGAGCGUAGGCGGGCGUUCAAGUCAGCGGUAAAAUCGGGCGGCUCAACCGAGCCCCGCAGUUGAAACUGGGAGCCUUGAGUACACAACAGGCAGGCGGAAUUCGUGGUGUAGCGGUGAAAUGCAUAGAUAUCACGAGGAACCCCGAUUGCGAAGGCAGCCUGCUGGGGUGCGACUGACGCUGAGGCUCGAAGGUGCGGGUAUCAAACAGGAUUAGAUACCCUAGUAGUC
rnacentral:rRNA from 1 species